GAGAGGAAAGUGGAAUUCCUAGUGUAGCGGUGAAAUGCGUAGAUAUUAGGAGGAACACCGGUGGCGAAGGCGACUUUCUGGACAAUAACUGACGUUGAGGCACGAAAGUGUGGGGAGCAAACAGGAUUAGAUACCCUGGUAGUCCACACCGUAAACGAUGGAUACUAGGUGUAGGAAAUGAUUUCAUUUUCUGUGCCGUCGCAAACGCAAUAAGUAUCCCACCUGGGGAGUACGGCCGCAAGGUUGAAACUCAAAGGAAUUGACGGGGGCCCGCACAAGCAGUGGAGUAUGUGGUUUAAUUCGAAGCAACGCGAAGAACCUUACCAGGGCUUGACAUAUAGAUGAAUAACUAAGAGAUUAGUUAGUCCUUCGGGACAUCUAUACAGGUGGUGCAUGGUUGUCGUCAGCUCGUGUCGUGAGAUGUUAGGUUAAGUCCUGCAACGAGCGCAACCCCUGUGAUUAGUUGCCAACAGGUUAAGCUGGGAACUCUAAUCAGACUGCCGGUGAUAAAUCGGAGGAAGGUGGGGAUGACGUCAAAUCAUCAUGCCCUUUAUGUCCUGGGCUACACACGUACUACAAUGGCUGUAACAGAGAGAAGCAACACCGCGAGGUAGAGCGAAACUCUAAAAGCAGUCUCAGUUCGGAUUGAAGGCUGAAAUUCGCCUUCAUGAAGCCGGAAUUGCUAGUAAUGGCAGGUCAGCAUACUGCCGUGAAUACGUUCCCGGGCCUUGUACACACCGCCCGUCACACCAUGAGAGUUGGGAAUACCCGAAGCCUGUGAGCCAACUGUAAAGAGGCAGCAGUCGAAGGUAGAAUCA
rnacentral:rRNA from 1 species